AGGGAUUCUGUUUUGAAUUUAGGUUUUGGGAAAAAAAAAUCUCCACAAUAAAAACCGGCAUCUAUGACCUCAGCAUCACCUGCUAGAACUGCAGACUCUCAGCCAUUGUCCUAGAUCAACUGAAUUGGCCCCUCCUCUAGCAAGAUCCUUGGGAGAUAUGAAUACAUAUCAAAAGCAGAACACUGUCCAAGAGAACUUUCUGUGAUGAUGGUCGUGAGCUCCGUGUGCCGUCCAGUAUUGUAGCCACUAGCCGCGUGUAGGAGGUGGGUGUUAUUCCACCUUCCUGGAGUCUUAGCAGUGAGAGUAAAGACUGGGAAGAGGACUCACGCGGCCCAUUGACCUGGAUGCCCCCUGACA